UUCCCUUACCCUCCGAUUAUAUAUUUCAAGUAUAUAUGAUGGUGUGUUCAACACUUCGUACUUUUUUCACUUUGUCUGAAACUCUCGAACCCUAUCUCUCUUCUCAUUCUCUCUCGCCCCCUUGUCUUUCCAAACCCUCUCUCUCUCUCUCUCCCCCCGAAUCUCACACACUCUCUCUAAAAUCCCCUCCGACUCUCUCUGAAAUUGAUGAAGAUGAAAUCUAUGUAGCUGCACCUUGAUUUCUUACGGGAGACGAUGGAGCAUCCCCAGUCGCCAAACCCUAGUCCGGCAAGCCUCCACGAAAGCAUAAAGCCUUUAAGGAGAACGCGCCUCCGCCUUAGAUCUCAUCUAUACGGCCUCGGAUUCGAAGCCUUCGUCGGCGGCCAAGUUGAAUAGUUUGUUGCCGCCAUGGCUACCGCCAUUAAAUCCUCUCAAACGGAAGCUUGAGAUGCUUCCUGAGAACAUUAACAAAGAGGCCUGAGACGCAGAGCAGCACCACCGGCCCAGAUUCCGACGAGCUUCGGCAACGAGCUUAGGGCCUACCUCCGUUGCCGCCUCGUCAAGACCUACGAUCAGUUUAGUUGCAAUACUUCUCCAACAGCUAGUUAGCUAGCUACCUUUUCUUUUGAACAAGUCUUGGAGUAACCUGUCGUCCAUGCUGAGCCUCUGAUUCUGGCUUCCAGGUCUGAUUUUGGUUAUCAAUUAUUAUCCAGGUGGCAGGAUAUCGAUGGGAAAAAGCCUUGAGAGGUUAUGGUAGAUAUUGGAGUUUGUUAGAGAUGGUGACAAAUCUGUGGUAGAGUUGAUGGAUACUGGGAAACAGCUUCUAAGGAGGAAGCCUUUUCUUCCGGGUGUUCAAUAUCUUUUGGAUAUGGUGCAGGUUGAGGGGACAUUUGGUGAUGGGACCAAGUUAAUCACCAUUCAUGAUCCAAUUUCUUGUGAUAAUGGAGAUCCGGAACUAGCUUUAAGGAACUCUUUUCUUCCUGGUAAAGGCUAAUUUAUGUUAGAAUGUUUCAAAUUACUUUCUUGUGGGACCUGUUGGCUUUAUUUAAUAUCACAUGGGCGGUGAUGAAGCGUAAUUGUUCUGGCUGAGCUUCAAGACAAAGAUCUGGAGAUGGGACGACAUCAGUUGUCAUUCUUGCUGCAGAGUUGUUAAAGAUAAUGAUAUAUGGGAUUUCUUCUCAUCCACGAGCAAAUGAUCUAGUGAAGCUCAAAAUUCACCUAACAUUCAUUAUUAGUGGUUACAGGCUUGCUAUGAGGGAAGCGUGCAAAUAUGUUGAGGAAAAGUUAGCCGUGAAGUACCCAGUUCAUGGAGACUGCAAGAUUGAGGACUGAAGCUAAAAAACGAGAGAAUUGAAGCUGCCCAAAGGGAGGAAAGGAUUAGGAAGGAAGCUGCUGAGCUGGACAAAAAAUUCACAGCCCAAAUGGAGCAGUUUAAGAUGCAACAAGAGGCAAUAAUGGCAAGGAAGGUGAAGGAACUAGCAACACUUGAAAUGGGUAGAUGGAUGAAAGAAGCUGGUUUUUCGGGGAUUGAGACACUAUCACAAGAUAUUGAGCCAAUGACUAAAGGUAGUAGACCUGUGAUCCCAACCCCAGCCAUCAAUGAUGUAUAUCGCCCGGAAAUGCCUCAAACUGUUCCAGAAUAGCAGCUGAAGUGAGCUGGUAAGUUUCACCUUAUGUAGAUGUCAUUUGUUGACUUUGAUGGUUUUGUUUUUGUCUACUUUGAGUUAAUCCUCAAAGCUCUAUCAAACUAUGUUCUUGGCCAAGGAUUUUGUUGUUAAAAGGGGGAAAAUCUUAGUCAUAUUCCACCUUGAACAACAUUGUAUUCUGGAAAAUAUCCUUGUUUUUUGUAUGCCAAGAAUUUAUUUAAGGUAUGAAGUAGAUGUCAUUUUUGUAUGCCAAGAAAUGUAAAUAAAGAUCUUGCUGGCAUGGCCAGUUUGUAUAUAUUGGGCACUUUCUCAACGAUAUAUAGCUGGAUUAAAACAAUGUAGAGAUAUUGGGAAUGUAAUUAAAGUUUACUUUAUUAUCAGUAAUUGUGGAUGAGUUUGAA